rnacentral:sRNA from 1 species
GUGGCCAACUUUGAUGCAAUUGUGGAUAUUCAGAAUGAGAUCAUCUCCCAGGUGUGCUCAGGUGUUGAUGAACAACUUGGUGAAUUGGUUAGUGGAGAAGAAGUUGUUGAGCCUCCUUCAAAUUUGAUUGCCAUGGAAGUCUCUUCAAAAUAUGUUAAGCUAAAUUGGAAUCCAUCUCCUAGUCCAGUGACCGGCUACAAAGUCAUCCUCACACCAAUGACCGCAGGAAGCCGACAGCACGCUCUGAGUGUGGGGCCUCAGACAACCACACUCAGUGUUCGCGACCUCUCAGCAGACACAGAAUACCAGAUCAGUGUUUCCGCCAUGAAGGGAAUGACAUCCAGUGAACCCAUUUCAAUAAUGGAGAAGACUCAGCCAAUGAAAGUUCAAGUGGAAUGCUCACGUGGUGUGGAUAUAAAAGCUGAUAUUGUGUUUUUGGUUGAUGGCUCCUAUAGCAUUGGGAUUGCAAACUUUGUUAAAGUUAGAGCCUUUUUGGAAGUUCUUGUAAAAAGUUUUGAAAUUUCACCAAAUAGGGUCCAGAUUAGUCUUGUCCAAUACAGCCGGGAUCCUCAUACUGAGUUCACUUUGAAAAAAUUCACCAAAGUUGAAGAUAUAAUUGAAGCAAUAAACACCUUCCCUUACAGAGGAGGAUCUACGAAUACUGGCAAAGCAAUGACUUAUGUCAGAGAAAAAAUAUUUGUGCCUAGCAAGGGAUCAAGAAGCAAUGUGCCAAAGGUCAUGAUUCUUAUCACGGAUGGGAAAUCAUCAGAUGCUUUCAGAGAUCCUGCGAUAAAACUAAGGAAUUCAGAUGUUGAAAUCUUUGCAGUUGGUGUGAAGGAUGCCGUUCGCUCAGAAUUGGAAGCUAUUGCCUCUCCUCCUGCAGAGACCCAUGUGUUCACGGUGGAAGAUUUUGAUGCUUUUCAGAGGAUAUCUUUUGAACUCACACAGUCUAUCUGCCUUAGAAUUGAGCAAGAAUUGGCAGCUAUAAAGAAGAAAGCUUAUGUCCCUCCAAAGGAUCUUAGUUUUUCAGAAGUGACUUCUUAUGGUUUCAAAACCAACUGGUCUCCAGCUGGAGAAAAUGUUUUUUCAUAUCACAUCACCUACAAAGAAGCGACUGGGGAUGAUGAGGUCACUGUGGUGGAGCCAGCAUCGAGCACCAGUGUUGUUCUCAGCAACCUGAAGCCAGAGACCCUGUAUUUGGUCAAUGUGACUGCGGAGUAUGAGGAUGGCUUCAGCAUUCCCUUAGCUGGAGAAGAGACCACCGAAGAAGUAAAAGGAGCGCCUCGAAACCUAAAGGUGACAGAUGAGACUACAGAUAGUUUUAAAAUUACUUGGACUCAAGCUCCAGGGAGAGUUUUAAGAUAUCGAAUUAUAUAUAGACCAGUUGCUGGUGGAGAGAGCAGAGAAGUUACCACCCCACCCAAUCAGAGGAGGAGAACCCUGGAGAACUUGAUUCCAGACACAAAAUAUGAAGUAUCUGUAAUUCCUGAAUAUUUCUCAGGACCUGGUACUCCAUUAACUGGAAAUGCAGCCACUGAAGAAGGUAGAGGAAAU